rnacentral:rRNA from 1 species
CUACAGGUGGCUGCAGUGGGGAACAUUGCACAAUGGAGGAAACUCUGAUGCAGCAACGCCGCGUGGAGGAUGACACUUUUCGGAGCGUAAACUCCUUUUAUAUAGGAAGAAGAUGACGGUACUAUAUGAAUAAGCGCCGGCUAACUCCGUGCCAGCAGCCGCGGUAAUACGGAGGGCGCAAGCGUUACUCGGAAUCACUGGGCGUAAAGAGCGUGUAGGCGGAUUAAAAAGUCAGAAGUGAAAUCCUAUAGCUUAACUAUAGAACUGCUUCUGAAACUCUUAAUCUAGAAUAUGGGAGAGGUAGAUGGAAUUUCUGGUGUAGGGGUAAAAUCCGUAGAGAUCAGAAGGAAUACCGAUUGCGAAGGCGAUCUACUAGAACAUUAUUGACGCUGAGACGCGAAAGCGUGGGGAGCAAACAGGAUUAGAUACCCGCGUAGUC